AAAAAGAUGAAAGCAUUCUAACAUGAAAAGUGUCCAACGAGGGUUAAUUGUGCGCUAGAUUGGGGUCAAACAAACAUUCAAGGUACCCCAGUUCCAAAAACACCUUUGGUGGCAAUCUUUCACUGUUAUCUUAGCUACAAUGGUACCGUGCUGAGAGGAAAGGCAUUAAAUGCUGUCCUUCAAGCCAUUCUGAUUAAAUACUGGGAAAAUACAUAAAGCAUUGUAUUGUCAGGCUCCAGAAAACCUGCCAGGCCAACCCUAUUGGGAAAUCUUUAUUGUCCAUCAUGGCCCGUUUAGCAUGCAACAUUGCGAUAAACAGACAUGUUUUACUGAACGUUUGCCCCCACCCUUGAGGUUAUUUAUGGGCCCUCUACAUACAGCCUGUGCUUCCCAGCCAAACACCCUGACUGCUUUAUGCUUUGUUGCUUGUAGCACAAACCCCUUAUUGUAAACAGCCGCAACAGCAGUUGCAAAUUUGGAGGCCUGGAGGGGAAGUGUCUGUACAAGAAGAGGACGUGAUUUUGAAGUAGGAUUCGUUCUUUUUUUUCAACGUCUCAGUAAAAUUCUUUAAGACGUUAUAAGCUCUGUUUUGCUAUCAUUGUCACUGCAGUACAAUAUCCCAGCUCUCUAUGCUUGAGCCCAUCAUUUAUCUAUUGCAUUCUGUUUCUAUUCUAUUGCAUUUGAUUUUAUUUUAAGUCUAUUAUGUCACAAAAUGCAGCUGCUUUGCAGCUUCCCUGAGUGCUGUUUCCUCAUACUUUCACUCACACCCUUGUGGUCUAUCUCCGGUGUACCAGACACCCAGCAAGUGAAAUAAAAUGCAUCUUAAUCUCAAACGGUACUGACCUGGGUUUCUUCGUAGCAACUCUUCCAUCAGAGUGAGCGAAGUAGACUUUAUCACAGGGAAUUCACACAGAGCGAGAACGAAUUAGUCCAGAGAAGUGCACAGGUACACAUAUAGCACAGAUAUGUGAUGGAUAUGGUUGAUAAAUCACAAGCCUAUCAUGUUUCAGCAUCCAUGCACUUAAGAAAAUGUGACACCGGCUGUUACAGCUUUAUGGGGACUUUGAGAAGACAAACUGCUCUUGGAAGCCAUUAUAGUGGUCAUUGUGUCUCGGCAACAGCAGCCUGAUGAUAGUUGAAACAAAAAACAGACAUUUUUACAAUUGUUGCUGCCAUACAGCGCUGCUGAUUUUGAUAGUCCACCGCUAUGUAUGAAUGAUAUUUCACUUCUGCUCACACUGGGACACUUUACACGUUUUAACGGAAAAUAACCACUCCUUGUUGGCAGCUGUCAGGGAUGAAGGCGCCACUUUUUGAAUAGUCGAAGGAUAGUAAAAGCAACAGGGUCCGUUGGACAGCAUGAGUGACAUACUCUACCAUUAUUCUAGUAGAAAAGCAGCAGCAGCACACCCAUUGCACCAAUAGCACAGUCUGCGUCCGGGGCAGAUUGCAGCCAAUCACCUCUUCAGCAGAGGGAACGAUGUGCUGCAGUCCAUUAAAAUGUAUUUUACAUCUAUUGUUUUGGUUUGGUCUUUUUGAUUAAUUCUGCACUGCAUGAAAAGUGGGAUUUUCGGCAGUAUGCGGCACUAUAAAUUGUCGUGGAAUUUCAGGUUUGCGGCAAUUUGCGGGCAACGCCGAAAACUGCCGGAAAUUGUCAGAAAUUGAUGUGGGCCUCCCUUGGCAGUUGUCCCCCCAUGACCCCCCUCCUCCUAAUUCUAGGGGAGGCUUUGACAUGUAAAUGAAAAUGCUGUGAGCUAUACAAAUGCAAAUCAGGGUCGCAGAGGGAGUUUUAGCCCAGGUGACAUUUUUUUAAAAGGUAAGAAAAUCUCUGGUACAAAUAGAUCAGGCUCAGUAGCCUAAUUAUAGACUCUUACAUUUUAGCUUGAAUUGAUUUAUUUAAUUCAAAUAUGCUAGAUUACUGUGUACGCCAUUAGCAAUGGCAAAUGUUAUGUAAAAAAGAUACACAAAAUAACUUAAAAAAUGAGUUUUAAUCAAGGUAAAAUGAGCAUUCCAUGCAAACAACAUUUGAAUCAGAAUGAGGGGUCUGCAGGGAUCACAGUCUCCUAGAGCUCAACUACAGUGCAUAGUGGCAGGACUACAGUGACCUUUUCUUUGGUCUUACUUAAAUGCACAGAGGAUGUAUUAACCACACAUCUUCUAGCAAUGCGCUCAACUGGCAGAAAUGAUGCUGGGUAUGACUAUAGCAAAUUGUAAAUUGGCUUAUUUGAGGAAAUUGCACUUUCUUGUUUCUUGUUCUCCUGAGUUUGUACCCUAUGGUUGAAUGCACUUAUUGUACGUCGCUUUGGAUAAAAGCGUCCGCUAAAUGACAUGUAAUGUAAUGUAAUAUAAUGUAAUGACGUAUCUGUUCCCUGCAAGCCCCAAACUUCUAUUGGCUUUCCAUAAAAAUGUCUGUCCGGGUGGAGAUGAAGCCAGGAAACUUGUGCAAGAACAUGUUUAAAUGCCGUACCCUUUGACACAACAUUAACAACUAUAAACUGCUUUAUAAUGGCUGGUCGUAGUUCUGCUAGAGGGUCAAGGACGGGUUCCUCAAAACUGUUAGUGUUUCCACACCACUUAGCAUAAACACAUGCUGACCCUUAUGCUCUACAUCUAUCGAUUGAGUAAGUUACAUUCAUACAUGUUACCCGUUUACAUGUCAUGGCAAAACAUUCAACCUCAGUGACACAAGGGUACAUUUGAUGAUACAUUGUCAACAUUGCAUGUCUGUCAGACUCAUCCAAGAUUGUCUGGUGUAAUGGAGAAAGAGGCACCACUGUACAGUUUUCUAGGAAAAGUCGUUCUGCUGACACCAAAACACUGCUUUACAUAAAGCAUAUCAGCUGUUUCAAAGUCCCAACCAUUUGUCUUCCUAAAAUACUGGUCCUUCCGUAUAACAAUAACCUCAUAUGUGAUUGGAGGACCCUUAGACUCCUCGUCCAAUCACGUGUGAGGUCAUAGGCAUGACUGAUACAGCAGUACUUGCAAGACGAGCAUACAAACAGACACUAUAUUCAGAAGAACUGUAUCUCCAGUGUGGUGGAAGAUUUUGCACAGACAAUCGUUAAGUAAGAAUCAAAGGCUCUGAGUCAAGUAUGUCUUUUCUCCGUUUAUUUCCUUGCAAGGGAAAAAGGGUCACAACAGCUACGUGGUCAGUAGACUGUCAAGAACCUCCUUUUCUUCCCAACACAUCGAGGCAGUUCUUAUACCUAAGUUUAGAUAUCGGUGGCGUCAACAGAAACCGUUAACCAUCUUGUUGAGUCUCUACAGCCAGGGUACUGGGAACACCUUGUCCAUGUGAGACACGUCAGUUCUUUGACCGUGUCCUUGCUCUCCCAACAUGCUUAAACAAAGGUGGUCAUAGACGUAACAAACACUUUGUUCAAUCUCUACAGCUAUGACGCUGGAACCAUCUAAUCCAAGUGGGAGACAUCAGUUCUUAUGUCAGGGCCUUUGUGACCUAAGCACUUGCAACUAAUAAACUGGUUAUACAAAUGAAGCAUUUAAAAGGGUCACAUAUCAUUUUCCCAUUACACCAGUUCCUUUGUUUGGUUUUUGCUGGUUCGUGAAUAAUGGCUGGACGACGUCUCGCGUUCAACUCGCCUUCAACUCCUCUCCGCGGUCACCAACUUUCGGCCAGUCCGCAGACAGACGAGAAGAAGCUGCUGAAUGCUCUCAGUGGAUUGUCUCGUCAACUCCAACAACAAACUGCCGAUAUCAACGAGCGGUUCGCUCCACUGGAGCGUUCGGGACUCUCCAGGUUUCUGUCCAUGGAGGAGAGGAACCGACUCAAAGAAGAGGAGACGGGCGCACAAUCCCAAGAUAGCGGAAGCGGUGCGCCGUCUUCACAACUCCGAGACGAAUUACAGGCGCUACGAACCGGAGCAAGGACUAAUCUCGCCUCAUAAUGAGGCGGUGACCUCGUAUUUGCUCCGGGAAAAAUCCAGAUUUAGACGACGUCAUUGUGUCCGCCUGUAAGACGUAUUUUGAGACGUACGCAGGAGCUUCAGGUUUUCCCAGCCGGAACACUGAUUGCGGGCGGAAGCUGCGAAGGAUUCAGCGCGGAGUCGAGCGAGAAGAAAGAGGCUGCUGGAAUCGAGACAAAGUGUGCUGGCUGAUGACGAGGUGGCACUCUGGAAAUCCGCCACCGUGGAGCUCACGUUGGACGGAGAGGAUGGCGUUGUUGGCGGGGUCUCGGGGUGGAUUGUACGGUCGCCACACACACGAGGCGCCUGCACAACAGACCUGCCUCGGAAAACACGGCGCCAGUGACGGUCCACAACCCCGAGGAGGCCAACGGACAGUUUACUGGGCUGUAGUUUUUAAACCGCCGUUACCCAAGUGUGGUCAGAUCCUCACUUUGUAUGUAGUUGUUGUUUGUGUGUUGUUAAUAAAGCUCUUUCUUUGCAUAAACAUGUGGCAAAUGUUCAUUUUCUCUAUAAAUUCAUUGAUGUCCUG
ensembl:lncRNA